CAGUAUAUAGAUAGAAGACAUAUUACAACGUUAAUUAGAAUGCGUACAGGCCAUUGCUUAAAAAAAAAACCAUUUAUAUAAAAUUAAAGUGAAGGAAGAUCCAUUCUUUUCCGAAUGCAGUCUGUUUGUGUGACCUCUAUCCUAUGUGCCUUUGUGUGUGAUAUAAUCUUCCUUUCAGCGCGUCAUUUAUAUAUUUAAUAAAUAAUAAUAAUAACAUUUUACAGUCACAGGUCACAGGUUACCUUCAUAGAAGUUAGUUAUAUUAAAAUUUACCCAUUAUACAUUUUACUCAGAUAAGAAUCAGUGGCCUUGAUAUGGUUUAGAGCCAGUCAACAUCUUGGUCACUCCCAAAUUGAGCUGGCGGUUGCCUUGUAGCAGAGCCAUCAUAAAAAAA
rnacentral:lncRNA from 1 species